rnacentral:rRNA from 1 species
UACAGAGGGGGCAAGCGUUAUUCGGAAUUAUUGGGCGUAAAGGGCGCGUAGGCGGUUUGUUAAGUCAGAUGUGUAAUCCCCGAGCUCAACUUGGGAACUGCAUCUGAGACUGGCAGGCUAGAGUACUGGAGAGGGUGGUGGAAUUCCUCGUGUAGCGGUGAAAUGCGUAGAGAUGAGGAGGAACACCAGUGGCGAAGGCGGCCACCUGGACAGUAACUGACGCUGAGGCGCGAAAGUGUGGGUAGCAAAC